rnacentral:rRNA from 1 species
AUUGAACGCUGGCGGCAGGCCUAACACAUGCAAGUCGAGCGGAUGAAGGGAGCUUGCUCCUGGAUUCAGCGGCGGACGGGUGAGUAAUGCCUAGGAAUCUGCCUGGUAGUGGGGGAUAACGUCCGGAAACGGGCGCUAAUACCGCAUACGUCCUGAGGGAGAAAGUGGGGGAUCUUCGGACCUCACGCUAUCAGAUGAGCCUAGGUCGGAUUAGCUAGUUGGUGGGGUAAAGGCCUACCAAGGCGACGAUCCGUAACUGGUCUGAGAGGAUGAUCAGUCACACUGGAACUGAGACACGGUCCAGACGCCUACGGGAGGCAGCAGUGGGGAAUAUUGGACAGUGGGCGAAAGCCUGAUCCAGCCAUGCCGCGUGUGUGAAGAAGGUCUUCGGAUUGUAAAGCACUUUAAGUUGGGAGGAAGGGCAGUAAGUUAAUACCUUGCUGUUUUGACGUUACCAACAGAAUAAGCACCGGCUAACUUCGUG